rnacentral:lncRNA from 1 species
CACCAAGUGAAGCACUAACUUAGCUCAGGUCUGAGGGGCAUGUAAUAGCCACUCAAUAAAUGUUAGCUAGUCAUUCAACACAUUCUACUUAAUUAAAAGCAAGCAGUCCAUUUGACACCAGAAAAAAAUUUAAUUAAACCUCACAUCACACAGAUAUAAUAUUACACAUCAUUCCACCUCAGGCCUUUACCAUGUCAGAUCUUGCUUUCCACUUUAUGCCAGCAGCAGCGAUGCCAGGGCCUGGGAGCUCAAGAGCCCUCCCUCCCCUGACCCCAACCUUUCUUGUAGGCUGGUGAUCUGUGAGAAGGAGAAGAAGAAGAAGGAAGAGAAGGAAGAGAAAGAGAAAUGCCAAACCAGGGUUACAGAAACUGUGGUCUCUUUCAAAUGUUGACAUUGGAUGAAUCAAAUAAACUUUCACCAAAAUACAGAGCUAUAUAAUUGUGCAGCAGCAAGAUAAUUAUUUUUAAAAAGGGAUGUAGUUUUUAAAGUGAAUUCAUUCAUAGUGUGUAGAGAAGUAAGUCUGGUAGUGGGACACGCAUUUAAAGCUGUUUGGGAAACAGUUUCUCUCCGCUGUCAGUGUGCCUCUGCGGCUCUACUUGUUGACUCAUUUGGAGACAAUAUGAAAAUCUCAACAGGAGAUCCUUCCUGAAUGGUCCUCCUUUCUUCUCCUGUUUGCUAUACUACACUCAGCAUCAGAUCAAGUUGGAAUUUCUGCCCUGCCACUUAUUGGCUGUUUCGAGUUAACUUCUGGAGUUUCUUCAUCUUGUAAAGAAAACACAAUAAAACACUCCUGAAUCUCAGAACUGUGCUGGAGGAUAAAUGCCUGAAUGGGACAGGCUCUUCCUCUCCUUUCUCUCUUCUCUCUCAUUCUUUCUCUCUUUCUUUCUCUCUCACUAUCUUUCCUUCCUUCCUUCCUCUCUCUCUCUCUCUCUCUCUCUGUCUCUCUCUCUCUCUGUCUGUCUGUCUGUCUCUCUCUCGCGCGCGCGUUCAAGUGCAGACACACCAGGUUUGCAGAAUCUCAGAUCAAGUCGUUAGCCAGACCCAUUCCCAUCCCUGGUCAGAUUCCGUGCCUCCCGCAGCCGCUGGUGCCUCAUUCCCUUUAUUCUAAGGGCAGUCGGGUCUUGGGAUGCUUGAAGCCUGGGAGGCGGAAUCAAGUCCCUCCCAGCGCUUUUCUGAGUCGGAGGGAGAGAUGGAGAGGCGCGGGCACUGGACCCCCUCCCUUUCCCCCACUCCUGGCAGGGCCUGCAGCGCCAGCCGCUCCGCGCCCCUUGGCACCGGCGCCUUUUCUCUGUCCGGGAAGGCGAGCCCAGCCCGCAGUCGCGCGGCGGGGGCCGAGGGAGCCCCCUCCUUUCCUCCCGCUCCCCCUCCCCUUCCUCCCCUCCCGAUACAAUGACUGGGCCGGAACAGCGCAUCAGCCGAGUCUCAUUGGCAGCGGCCGCCCCAGCCCCCGGAGAGGCGGCGGGCGGGGGCAGCUGGGGAGAGAGGAGCCCAGAGCGGGGCUGACAGCGAGAGGAGGCAGGCAGGACGGAAGGACGGAAGGACGCGAGGAAGGCGGCCCGGGGCACAACUGCUUUGAUGAAAAAUCCAGAAGAAAGAAUGUGUGA